CGUCAAGGCCCUGCCAGCCAAGGUGCCCAGCUCUCUCGCCUCUCAAGCGGCUUCUAUGGCCCAUAAGCUAGUUUUUUCCUCACACAUUUUCCCAGGUCAGAGGCACGAUGAAGGCAGUCUUCCAGAGGGGAAAGUAAGGUUGUCCCCCAGCUUCAUCGUGAGCCACAGAGGAAAGCCGUGAGGCUGUCUGAGGGGAGGGCAGCAACAAGUACCAUUUGGCCUCUCCUUGUGCGAGUCCACUGGCUGAAGGUGGUCUCUGGAUCCUUCGCUCCGGCACUGACACACACUCCUGUUCGGUUUGUGUAUAUGGUGUGAAGUGGGGAAACAAAGGAGCAUAUACGUGUCCCUCUGUGACAAGCACUGGGACAGAACUGUCCCACAGCCACCUUCCUAGAAGACUCUGAAUAGUCAAGCUGCUGUGGGCAGAUGGCUUUGGCUCAGUGGUGGUCAUGGGCAAUCCAGGAGCUGUCUGCCUGGAGGGAGCCUGGCACAGAGAGGAGGAUCAGUGCAGGGGAAAGAAGACUGUUUCACCUUGCUGUUUACCCGGUGUUCACACUCUGAGUGAGGACGGAGACCCAUUCAAUGAAGGCUGCGGACUACAGGUUCAGAACGGGGCUAUGUGUCUAGCAGGAUGACAGAGGUAGAAGGUUUGCUGAAAGCUUGUGGGAGGCUCAAUGCUCAAGGUUGUAGGGAGGGGUGUUUUGUCUGCAGUCUGGCCACACUGGGACGGUGGAUGUGUGACUAGACCGGCUUUAUUGAAACUCACUACCAGGAGGGCCCAUGGAGCCACAGAGGAGUCGAUGACACUCCCAGGAAGGACAGCUGGACGAUACAAUCUGUGCUGUCCUCUUUAUGGUGCCCCACAUUGGUCAGUACAGAGAAAGAGUUCCCAGGCCAGAUGCCACAGCACAGACAUCAGCAAUAGCCAGCUGUGUUCCCGUGUGCCUCACUCUUGGGAGCAGCUGGCAUGGGACCUCAGGAGGAGGCAGGUACUCUCAAAGACACUAGCUUGCCAUACCCAGGCUCGGUGAAACAUAGACGUCAUCUGAAGUCCCUAUAUGGCCCAGCAAGCCUACUCUAUUGUUCCCUUAACUCAGAUGGAGCC
rnacentral:lncRNA from 1 species